rnacentral:rRNA from 1 species
CCUACGGGAGGCAGCAGUGGGGGAUAUUGCACAAUGGGGGAAACCCUGAUGCAGCGACGCCGCGUGAGUGAAGAAGUAUUUCGGUAUGUAAAGCCCUAUCAGCAGGGAAGAAAAUGACAGUACCUGACCAAGAAGCCCCGGCUAACUACGGGCCAGCAGCCGCGGCAACACGUAGGGGGCAAGCGUUAUCCGGAUUUACUGGGUGUAAAGGGAGCGUAGUCGGGUAUGUAAGUCUGGAGGGAAAGCCCGGGGCCCAAGCCCCGGACAGCUUGGGAAACUGUGUAACUGGAGUACAGGAGGGGGAGGCGGAAUUCGUGGUGUAGCGGUGAAAUGCGUAGAUAUCAGGAGGAACACCGGCGGCGAAGGCGGCCUGCUGGACUGAAACUGACGUUGAGGCACGAAAGCGUGGGGAGCGAACAGGAUUAGAUACCCCUGUAGUC